UACGGAGGGUGCGAGCGUUGUCCGGAAUCACUGGGCGUAAAGGGCGCGUAGGUGGCGGCCCAAGUCAACGGUGAAAGCUCGGCGCUCAACGCCGAGUCGGCCGUCGAUACUGGGUUGCUUGAGCACUGUAGGGGCCAAUGGAAUUCCGGGUGUAGCGGUGGAAUGCGUAGAGAUCCGGAAGAACACCGGUGGCGAAGGCGGUUGGCUGAGCAGGUGCUGACACUGAGGCGCGACAGCGUGGGGAGCAAACAGG
rnacentral:rRNA from 1 species